UCGGAUGUGGUGCACGGUGCACGCCCGCACACAAUAGUUCCCAGCUGUGUUUCUUUAUAUGUAUGCGGGAGUCCUGGGUUCGACUCCCAGCGUCCGAA